CCUACGGGAGGCAGCAGUGGGGAAUAUUGGACAAUGGGGGGAACCCUGAUCCAGCCAUGCCGCGUGUGUGAAGAAGGCCUUUUGGUUGUAAAGCACUUUAAGCGAGGAGGCGUUACUCGCAGAAUAAGCACCGGCUAACUCUGUGCCAGCAGCCGCGGUAAUACAGAGGGUGCGAGCGUUAAUCGGAUUUACUGGGCGUAAAGCGUGCGUAGGUGGCCAAUUAAGUCAAAUGUGAAAUCCCCGAGCUUAACUUGGGAAUUGCAUUCGAUACUGGUUGGCUAGAGUAUGGGAGAGGAUGGUAGAAUUCCAGGUGUAGCGGUGAAAUGCGUAGAGAUCUGGAGGAAUACCGAUGGCGAAGGCAGCCAUCUGGCCUAUCUGACACUGAGGUACGAAAGCAUGGGGAGCAAACAGGAUUAGAUACCCUUGUAGUC
rnacentral:rRNA from 1 species